UACAACAUGGGAUACUAGAGGAGAACACUAUGACAACGAAGCCAGAAAGAUGGCUUUGAAUUUGGAAGUAGGAGACCCCCUCGAGUCUUUCCUUACUUUCCCAACGCUUAAACAGUGUUUACAGAAAUGUAUUUGACAGCAUUUUAUUUUAAAGUGUCUAAGGAACACGGUACUGCUUCACGUAGGAGGUUGCCGUCCUUCGGAUCUACCGCCAUUCUAUGUAUAAUUAAAAACGUGUGCCAUAUGUUAGCAGGAUAUAUACACACACAAGCAAUAACUUAACAUUUAAUUUUGGGAACAAUUCCUACCUUUCUGCCAAGUCGAUAAACAUACAUCUACAUAGUCAGUAUUUCAGUGCUCCUCCCGAGUAGAAGUGAAAGGCAAUAUCCUCUCAAGAAGAAAGAAAGAAUCCUGUCCUUGUGCAGCACAGAAGGGUCAUGACCACUUUAGUAUUUUAAUCAAACAAACUAACUUCAGAAGAGAUUUCUGCCUCCAGUCAAAUGUUGAUUUGGGAACAGCAGAAGCGAAGUUCAGGUCACAGUGGAAUAAGUCAAACAGUAUCAGUGUUGGAGUCCAAUAAAGCGGUCCAUAAUUGGAACUCUGAACUUGCAGAAACCCUCGUUGGAGUUUAAUGGACUGGCCAGGUCAAGAGCUUUCAUGAUUAAAAAAAGAAAUUGCUGUCCAGGAGUUUAAUGAGCUCGAGGACAUUUCUGCAUGCCCCAAAACCUAUUAGAGCAUCUGGAUCUUGUUGUUAACAAUAAUUCUCUCUUUUGUGAGGAGGGGUCAGUGGGAGACUUCUUUGUUGUUAAUUCCAUCAACCUUCCUCUCAAUAGAAAACCUGCCAACAAAUACCAUCUACCACAUAUCCCCAGAGUUCUUCCUCUGGAUGUGGAUAGUGCUCUUUCUCAUAAGUUCCUCUUAAUUGCAUGACUAUGACUUGUAAAGAAAGUGCCAACCUGAAUUCAGAGAGAGGUUCCUCAUCCGGGACUUCCCUAAACCAAGAAAAUCAAAGGUUCAAUUCCUAUCUUUUUAUUCAGUAUGUGUUUAUAAUAG
rnacentral:lncRNA from 1 species